rnacentral:rRNA from 1 species
AACGAACGCUGGCGGCAUGCCUAACACAUGCAAGUCGAACGAGACCUUCGGGUCUAGUGGCGCACGGGUGCGUAACGCGUGGGAACCUGCCCUUAGGUUCGGAAUAACUCUCCGACAGGGGUGCUAAUACCGGAUAAUGUCUUCGGACCAAAGAUUUAUCGCCUUUGGAUGGGCCCGCGUUGGAUUAGCUAGUUGGUAGGGUAAAAGCCUACCAAGGCGACGAUCCAUAGCUGGUCUGAGAGGAUGAUCAGCCACACUGGGACUGAGACACGGCCCAGACUCCUACGGGAGGCAGCAGUGGGGAAUAUUGGAAAAUGGGCGAAAGCCUGAUGCAGCAAUGCCGCGUGAGUGAUGAAGGCCUUAGGGUUGUAAAGCUCUUUUACCCGGGAUGAUAAUGACAGUACCGGGAGAAUAAGCUCCGGCUAACUCCGUG